GUAUUUGUGAGACUGUUGUUUCUUGCUGUGCUGUCUUCGCCAUAACAUUUCAUGCUGCUUUCAUUCUCUGAUCUCAAAGUGAUGUAUCUGUCACUGUUUU